AAACCAUGAUGAGGGCAAUGUCUAAGUAAUUCUUUGUAUCUUUCUCGAGCUUCGUACAAUGAUUCUAAAUCUUUCUACAUGAAUGAUGUAAUAUCAUUCCUCGUUU
rnacentral:snoRNA from 1 species